AAAUUGAAGAGUUUGAUCAUGGCUCAGAUUGAACGCUGGCGGCAGGCCUAACACAUGCAAGUCGAACGGUAGCACAGAGAGCUUGCUCUCGGGUGACGAGUGGCGGACGGGUGAGUAAUGUCUGGGAAACUGCCUGAUGGAGGGGGAUAACUACUGGAAACGGUGGCUAAUACCGCAUAAUGUCGCAAGACCAAAGAGGGGGACCUUCGGGCCUCUUGCCAUCA
rnacentral:rRNA from 1 species